CCUAAGGUAGCGAAAUUCCUUGUCGGGUAAGUUCCGACCUGCACGAAUGGCGUAAUGAUGGCCACGCUGUCUCCACCCAAGACUCAGUGAAAUUGAAAUCGCUGUUAAGAUGCAGUGUACCCGCGGCUAGACGGAAAGACCCCGUGAACCUUUACUAUAGCUUCACACUGGACUUUGACCUUACUUGUGUAGGAUAGGUGGGAGACUUUGAAGCGUGAUCGCUAGAUUGCGUGGAGUCAUCCUUGAAAUACCACCCUGGUAAUGUUGAGGUUCUAACUUGGCUCCUGAAACGGGAGUGAGGACAGUGUGUGGUGGGUAGUUUGACUGGGGCGGUCUCCUCCUAAAGAGUAACGGAGGAGCACGAAGGUACCCUAAGAGCGGUCGGAAAUCGCUCGUUUAGUGUAAUGGCAUAAGGGUGCUUGACUGCGAGAGUGACAACUCGAGCAGGUGCGAAAGCAGGUCAUAGUGAUCCGGUGGUUCUGAAUGGAAGGGCCAUCGCUCAACGGAUAAAAGGUACUCCGGGGAUAACAGGCUGAUACCGCCCAAGAGUUCACAUCGACGGCGGUGUUUGGCACCUCGAUGUCGGCUCAUCACAUCCUGGGGCUGAAGCCGGUCCCAAGGGUAUGGCUGUUCGCCAUUUAAAGUGGUACGCGAGCUGGGUUUAGAACGUCGUGAGACAGUUCGGUCCCUAUCUGCCGUGGGCGCAGGAGAUUUGAGAAGAGUUGCUCCUAGUACGAGAGGACCGGAGUGAACGAACCUCUGGUGUUCGGGUUGUGUCGCCAGACGCAUUGCCCGGUAGCUACGUUCGGACAGGAUAACCGCUGAAAGCAUCUAAGCGGGAAGCCCCCUUCAAGACGAGAUCUCCCUGAGGACUUGAUCCUCCUAAAGUGCCGUUGAAGACGACGACGUUGAUAGGCUGGGUGUGUAAGUACAGUGAUGUAUUGAGCUAACCAGUACUAAUUGCACGUGAGGCUUGACCAU
rnacentral:rRNA from 1 species